CACUCCGCGGGAGGCAGCAGUGGGGAAUUUUGGACAAUGGGCGAAAGCCUGAUCCAGCAAUGCCGCGUGAGUGAAGAAGGCCUUCGGGUUGUAAAGCUCUUUUGUCAGGGAAGAAACGGUGAGAGCUAAUAUCUUUUGCUAAUGACGGUACCUGAAGAAUAAGCACCGGCUAACUACGUGCCAGCAGCCGCGGUAAUACGUAGGGUGCAAGCGUUAAUCGGAAUUACUGGGCGUAAAGCGUGCGCAGGCGGUUUUGUAAGUCUGAUGUGAAAUCCCCGGGCUCAACCUGGGAAUUGCAUUGGAGACUGCAAGGCUAGAAUCUGGCAGAGGGGGGUAGAAUUCCACGUGUAGCAGUGAAAUGCGUAGAUAUGUGGAGGAACACCGAUGGCGAAGGCAGCCCCCUGGGUCAAGAUUGACGCUCAUGCACGAAAGCGUGGGGAGCAAACAGGAUUAGAAACCCUAGUAGUCCCAUG
rnacentral:rRNA from 1 species